rnacentral:rRNA from 1 species
UACGGGGGGGGCAAGCGUUUGUUCGGAAUUACUGGGCGUAAAGGGUUCGUAGGUGGCUUGCUCAGUCAGACGUGAAAUCCCUCAGCUUAACUGGGGAACUGCGUCUGAUACUGGCGAGCUUGAGUGCAGGAGAGGAACGCGGAAUUCCAGGUGUAGCGGUGAAAUGCGUAGAUAUCUGGAGGAACACCGGUGGCGAAGGCGGCGUUCUGGACUGCAACUGACACUGAGGAACGAAAAGCCAGGGGGAGCAAAACGGGG